rnacentral:rRNA from 1 species
GACGAACGCUGGCGGCGUGCUUAACACAUGCAAGUCGAACGGAAAGGCCCUGCUUUUGUGGGGUGCUCGAGUGGCGAACGGGUGAGUAACACGUGAGUAACCUGCCCUUGACUUUGGGAUAACUUCAGGAAACUGGGGCUAAUACCGGAUAGGAGCUCCUGCUGCAUGGUGGGGGUUGGAAAGUUUCGGCGGUUGGGGAUGGACUCGCGGCUUAUCAGCUUGUUGGUGGGGUAGUGGCUUACCAAGGCUUUGACGGGUAGCCGGCCUGAGAGGGUGACCGGCAACAUUGGGACGGAGAGACGGCCCAGACUCCUACGGGAGGCAGCAGUGGGGAAUAUUGCACAAUGGGCGGAAGCCUGAUGCAGCAACGCCGCGUGCGGGAUGACGGCGGUCGGGUUGUAAACCGCGUGCGCCUGUGACGAAGCGUGAGGGAAGGUAAUGGGUAAAGAAGCACCGGCUAAUUACGUG